rnacentral:snRNA from 1 species
AAACUUACCUGGUAGGGGAGAUACCAUGAUCAUGAAGGUGGUUUUCUAGGGUGAGGCUUAUUCAUUGCACUCCAGAUGUGCUGACCCCUGCGAUUUCCCCGAAUUCAGGAAACUCGACUGCAUAAUUUGUGGUAGUGGGGGACUGUGUUCAUGCUCUCCCCUG